GUGCCAGCCGCCGCGGUAAUACGUAGGGGGCAAGCGUUGUCCGGAAUUACUGGGCGUAAAGGGCGCGUAGGCGGCGUGUCACGCCGGGUGUGAAAGCCCCGGGCUCAACCUGGGAAUGGCAUCCGGAACGGGCAGGCUAGAGUGCAGGAGAGGAAGGUAGAAUUCCCGGUGUAGCGGUGAAAUGCGUAGAGAUCGGGAGGAAUACCAGUGGCGAAGGCGGCCUUCUGGACUGACACUGACGCUGAGGUGCGAAAGCGUGGGUAGCAAACAGGAUUAGAUACCCCAGUAGUCC
rnacentral:rRNA from 1 species